rnacentral:rRNA from 1 species
CCUGGCUUAGGACGAACGCUGGCGGCGUGCCUAACACAUGCAAGUCGAGCGAGGAGAUCCUUCGGGAUGAUCCUAGCGGCGGACGGGUGAGUAACACGUGGGCAACCUGCCUCAUAGAGAGGAAUAGCCUUCCGAAGGGGAGAUUAAUACCUCAUAACAUUGCAGUUUCGCAUGGAACAGCAAUUAAAGGAGUAAUCCGCUAUGAGAUGGGCCCGCGGCGCAUUAGCUAGUUGGUGAGGUAACGGCUCACCAAGGCGACGAUGCGUAGCCGACCUGAGAGGGUGAUCGGCCACAUUGGGACUGAGACACGGCCCAGACUCCUACGGGAGGCAGCAGUGGGGAAUAUUGCACAAUGGGGGAAACCCUGAUGCCAGCAACGCCGCGUGAGUGAUGACGGCCUUCGGGUUGUAAAGCUCUGUCUUCAGGGACGAUAAUGACGGUACCUGAGGAGGAAGCCACGGCUAACUACGUGCCAGCCGCCGC